AUUCAGCUGACGAGUCCUGAAUAGGACGAAAUGCGCGUCCUGGAU
rnacentral:hammerhead_ribozyme from 1 species